rnacentral:rRNA from 2 species
AUAUCAUAGCGAGAAAAGAAACUAACAAGGAUUCCCCUAGUAACUGCGAGUGAAGCGGGAAAAGCUCAAAUUUAAAAUCUGUCAGCCUUUGGCUGUCCGAGUUGUAAUCUAGAGAAGUGUUAUCCGCGCUGGACCGUGUACAAGUCUCCUGGAAUGGAGCGUCAUAGAGGGUGAGAAUCCCGUCUUUGACACGGACUGCCAGGGCUUUGUGAUGCGCUCUCAAAGAGUCGAGUUGUUUGGGAAUGCAGCUCAAAAUGGGUGGUAAAUUCCAUCUAAAGCUAAAUAUUGGCGAGAGACCGAUAGCGAACAAGUACCGUGAGGGAAAGAUGAAAAGAACUUUGGAAAGAGAGUUAAACAGUACGUGAAAUUGCUGAAAGGGAAACGCUUGAAGUCAGUCGCGUUGUCCAGGGAUCAACCUUGCUUUUGCUUGGUGUACUUUCUGGUUAACGGGUCAGCAUCAAUUUUGACUGUUGGAAAAAGAUCAGGGGAAUGUGGCAUCUUCGGAUGUGUUAUAGCCCUUGGUUGCAUACAAUGGUUGGGAUUGAGGAACUCAGCACGCCGCAAGGCCGGGUUUUAACCACGUACGUGCUUAGGAUGCUGGCAUAAUGGCUUUAAUCGACCCGUCUUGAAACACGGACCAAGGAGUCUAACAUGCCUGCGAGUGUUUGGGUGGAAAACCCGAGCGCGUAAUGAAAGUGAAAGUUGAGAUCCUUGUCAUGGGGAGCAUCGACGCCCGGACCAGACCUUUUGUGACGGUUCCGCGGUAGAGCAUGUAUGUUGGGACCCGAAAGAUGGUGAACUAUGCCUGAAUAGGGUGAAGCCAGAGGAAACUCUGGUGGAGGCUCGUAGCGAUUCUGACGUGCAAAUCGAUCGUCAAAUUUGGGUAUAGGGGCGAAAGACUAAUCGAACCAUCUAGUAGCUGGUUCUG